rnacentral:lncRNA from 1 species
UGUACCUUCCCAAGGAUUAGAGAAGCCAGGGGUCCAAGCAAUAGCACUCAAGGCCCAAGGAGCUGACUUUAAUGUAUUGGUUCAAACUCUGCAGGAACCCCUGAGCCAAGUCCCAUGGAUCCUGAUGUUGGCAUGUGGGGGAAGUUUCCCCCACCCUGAGUUCCUCCCUGCUGCCACACCCUUUUUUCAGAGGUAAAGUGGGCAGUGAGACGGUUGGGCUGCCCUUGACUCCCAGCCAGCACCCACAUGCCAAGCCCUGGGCCAAGGGCAAUGGACCGCUGCAAAACCUGCAGUCUUCCUGGGGCACACUUCUUUUCAAUUUUCUAUAUAGUGGGCUUACUUCAAAUUUGCCACCAUGAGAUCUGAUUCCUUGUGCUCUCAGAGUGCUGCAGGGAGGCUUAGGGCACUGCUUUCUUUGUUGAAGGGAAAAAUGACCAAAAAAACUGUGACUAGUUAUUUGUUGCCCACCAUGAACUUCCAGAUAAAGGCAACUCUAGGUAUUGAAGUUGCAGACCCCAGGCUGCCGAGAGAUACAAUGAUGAACGGCCUCCUUACAGCGAAGGGCUUCCGGAGUCUACCAGGACAGGCUGUAACCUAUACAUUAUAAACUCAUAAGAAACAAUGAAAGACAGAGAUGCCAAAAUGUGUAACUGAAUAGCAACAAUUUAAACCCAUAUGCCAGGCUGUAUAUCGUAGAUUUUUGCUUCCAGAAGUACUAGCCUGACCAAAACAGUGUCCCAUUUUUUCACUUGUAUAAAC